rnacentral:rRNA from 2 species
GGUAUUGAUUGGUGCUUGCAUCAUGAUUUACAUUUGAGUUGAGUGGCGAACUGGUGAGUAACACGUGGGAAACCUGCCCAGAAGCGGGGGAUAACACCUGGAAACAGAUGCUAAUACCGCAUAACAACUUGGACCGCAUGGUCCGAGUUUGAAAGAUGGCUUCGGCUAUCACUUUUGGAUGGUCCCGCGGCGUAUUAGCUAGAUGGUGGGGUAACGGCUCACCAUGGCAAUGAUACGUAGCCGACCUGAGAGGGUAAUCGGCCACAUUGGGACUGAGACACGGCCCAAACUCCUACGGGAGGCAGCAGUAGGGAAUCUUCCACAAUGGACGAAAGUCUGAUGGAGCAACGCCGCGUGAGUGAAGAAGGGUUUCGGCUCGUAAAACUCUGUUGUUAAAGAAGAACAUAUCUGAGAGUAACUGUUCAGGUAUUGACGGUAUUUAACCAGAAAGCCACGGCUAACUACGUGCCAGCAGCCGCGGUAAUACGUAGGUGGCAAGCGUUGUCCGGAUUUAUUGGGCGUAAAGCGAGCGCAGGCGGUUUUUUAAGUCUGAUGUGAAAGCCUUCGGCUCAACCGAAGAAGUGCAUCGGAAACUGGGAAACUUGAGUGCAGAAGAGGACAGUGGAACUCCAUGUGUAGCGGUGAAAUGCGUAGAUAUAUGGAAGAACACCAGUGGCGAAAGCGGCUGUCUGGUCUGUAACUGACGCUGAGGCUCGAAAGUAUGGGUAGCAACAGGAUUAGAUACCCUGGUAGUCAUACCGUAACGAUGAAUGCUAGUGUUGGAGGGUUUCGCCCUCAGUGCUGCAGCUACGCAUAAGCAUCCGCCUGGGGAGUACG